GCCUUUAUAGGAUGUCAUAUAAAUGAGCCUGGCUUCUUUCACCCACCAUAAUGCAUUUGAGAUUCAUCUAUCUUGUUGAAUACAUCUGUAGUUAGGCUUGUUACUCACAGAUGUUCCACUGCACUAAAUCCCUUACACCUCAGGAAAAGGUGAUCUUUCCUCAUCCUCCUCUACCUAAGUCUUCAAAUGUGUAAUGCUCUACACGGGGCAAGACAUUUUCCCCUGAUUUCUUCACAGCAAUCACUUUGUGCUCUGAAGCAUGAGAUUCAAUUACCCAUAUAAUAUUUACUCUUUAAUGGUAGUUGGUAUAAAUUGCCUUUAUCUAGAACAUUUUAUCAGUGGUGGUGUGUGUUUCAACAAGAUGUACCCUCUUGUUGUAAUGUCAGCAGCUGUUAACCAUGAAUGCCUUUGUAUUAAUUCAUUAGGGAUUUAAAAGAGUAAUAUUCUACAUCUAUUAAUUUUUCUUCAUUUAUUAGCAAAAAACUAUCAUAAAGAAUUAUCCUUCCAUUCUGUUAUUUAGUUAGCCAAAAGUACAGACUACAUAGGAAUGGCAGGUUAAAAUGUUGGACCAUUUCCUUUUAUACACGUUUUCAAAGUAAUUAGUUUGUUUCCUAGCAUCCUCCAAUAGUGAACAGUAUCUUGUUGUUGUCUGUAUUCUCAUGUACUUGUGAGUUUAAACAUAUUCAAAUGUCUUAAUCUAUUGAGAUUAUCCUCAUUAUUGUUUCUCAAAGUGUCCCAUUAGUAGCUAGUGGUAUCUUCUUCCUGCUUCUGAGUCCUACUGACUCAACAUGGAACGAUGAAGAUAUUCUUUUUCCAGACCCACAAUUGGCCCUGAGAAUCUCAACAUUCCUAAGUUUCAAUUCCACGUGCACAUUUAUGCACUGUAUGGCCCUUCAUUCUGACUAACCACUGUGGUUUCUGAUUGACACCUUUAUUCUCUUUCCCAGCACAUUUCCUGUGUUUCCAUUUUCUGGAUAGAAUAUAACAAGUGUUAUCUUCAAAGUCAGGUUAGGAGUUCUACAGUCUUAUUUUAUUGAUUCAUUCACCAAACGUUGAUAAAAAUGUGGCAGUCAGGGUUUGAUUAGAGAAGCAGAAACUCUGGGAAUGAUAUAAAGGACUUAUAAAAACUAUGUUUUAUGCUAUAAUUGGAGUUAGUGGUGAAGGCUAUGCAAGCCUGUCACCUCUGAGUUUAGUUUUGGGUUAAAGCCACCACAGGCUAACCAGGUCAGUAAUCAGAAAGGAGGUUGUGGAGAAGAAGCUUAAACUAGAACUCGCCAGUUCAGACAAACUGGUAUCCAUGAGGACCACCUGGAACUUAUAUCCAUAUCUCAUUGCCCUUCACUGUAGUGAUGUGGAUGAA
rnacentral:lncRNA from 1 species